GCCUUGCAAAUCAUGAGGGAAUCCCAGGGAAAGAAAACACUCCUCGGACUGAUAGUGAGGUGAUUGUCUCUACAUACAGAUGAGAUACAUGAGACACUGAGAAAUGGAUACCACUGAGGUCAUGGCCAGGAGGUGGCAGUGCAAAGAUUCCUACCCAAGCUUCCUCAUCUGUGAACAGAACAGGAAGGCCUCGGUAAAUAGGUACAUGUUGACAAGCAACAACCUACUCAAAACUCAUCUUUUUGUAUUAAUGCAUCAUGUGACUCCCUCGUUUGGACUUCUGCAGGAACAUGUCAGAGACGGGGUCUUGCUAUGUUGCCCAGAAUGGAAUGCAGUGUCUCUUCACCGGCACCAUCCUGGCAUGCUAUAGCCUCAAACUCCUGGGCUCAAGCAUCAUCCUGCCUCAGCCUCCCAAUUAGCUGGGACUACAGCUGAGUUUUCAGUGUGGACUUUGCUUCUGAAUUGUGUCCAAGGCUCUGAGUCGGUUUUAAGACCUUACAUCUGCAUGGUGCUUUGCCGUUUAAGAAGGAAUUCCACAUUAAUCUUCAGCUCUGAUUAUUCAAGUUCAUCCCGGUUCCUGUUACAGUCACUGCUUGAAUAAAUGAAUGAACCAAAA
rnacentral:lncRNA from 1 species